GGACCUUUAGCUCAGUUGGUUAGAGCAGGGGACUCAUAAUCCCUUGGUCGGGGGUUCAAAUCCCUCAGGGCGCA
rnacentral:tRNA from 1 species